rnacentral:tRNA from 1 species
UUGAAAAAAGCCAAAAUAGAGGCUCAUCACUGUUAAUGAUGGAAAUGGAUUUUCAUCAUCCUUUUCAAG